AGAGUGAACGCUGGCGGUAGGCCUAACACAUGCAAGUCGAACGGCAGCACAGGAGAGCUUGCUCUCUGGGUGGCGAGUGGCGGACGGGUGAGGAAUACAUCGGAAUCUACCUUUUCGUGGGGGAUAACGUAGGGAAACUUACGCUAAUACCGCAUAAGACCUUCGGGUGAAAGCCGGGGACCUUCGGGCCUGGCGCGGAUAGAUGAGCCGAUGUCGGAUUAGCUUGUUGGCGGGUAAAAGCCCACCAAGGCGACGAUCCGUAGCUGGUCUGAGAGGAUGAUCAGCCACACUGGAACUGACGACACGGUCCAGACCUCCGUACGGGAGCAGCGAGGUGGGAAUAGUGGACAAUGGGCGCAAGCCUAGACU
rnacentral:rRNA from 1 species